UACGGGGGGAGCAAGCGUUGUUCGGAAGUACUGGGCGUAAAGCGCGUGUAGGCGGCUCGGAAAGUCGGAUGUGAAAGCCCUGGGCUUAACCUAGGAAGUGCAUUCGAAACUCCCGAGCUUGAGUUCUGGAGAGGAAGGCGGAAUUCUCGGUGUAGAGGUGAAAUUCGUAGAUAUCGAGAGGACCACCGGUGGCGAAGGCGGCCUUCUGGACAGUGACUGACGCUGAGACGCGAAAGCGUGGGGAGCAAACAGG
rnacentral:rRNA from 1 species